ACAUCUCAAAAUGUAAUGUAAUAUAGCUGGCCCUCUCUAUCUAUAGAGACAGAGCUCAGUGAGUCUGGCAUGACAGUGAGAAGUACUGGCUCUGCAACCUCCUUGGCUAGCCAGGGGGAGAGAAGGAGACGAACUCUUCCCCAGCUUCCAAAUGAAGAAAAGUCUCUUGAGAGCCACAGAGCAAAGGUUGUAACACAGAGGUCAGAGAUAGGAGAAAAACAAGACACAGAACUUCAGGAGAAGGAAACACCUACACAGGUAUACCAGAAAGAUAAACAAGAUGCUGACAGACCCUUGAGUAAAAUGAACAGGGCAGUAAAUGGAGAGACUCUCAAAACUGGUGGAGAUAAUAAAACCCUACUUCACUUAGGCAGCUCUGCUCCUGGAAAGGAGAAAAGUGAAACUGAUAAGGAAACUUCUUUGGUAAAGCAAACAUUAGCAAAACUUCAACAACAAGAACAAAGGGAGGAGGCUCAGUGGACACCUACUAAAUUGUCUUCCAAAAAUGUUUCAGGUCAGACAGAUAAAUGUAGGGAGGAACCUUUUAAACAAGAAUCACAACCUCCAGAAAAAAAUUCAGGACAUUCUACAAGCAAAGGAGACAGAGUGGCACAAAGUGAGAGCAAGAGAAGAAAAGCUGAGGAAAUUCUGAAAAGUCAGACUCCAAAGGGAGGAGACAAGAAGGAAUCCUCCAAGUCAUUAGUGCGACAAGGGAGCUUCACUAUAGAAAAACCCAGCCCAAACAUACCCAUAGAACUUAUUCCCCAUAUAAAUAAACAGACUUCCUCUACUCCUUCUUCUUUAGUAUUAACAUCUGCAAGUAGAAUACGAGAAAGAAGUGAGUCUUUGGAUCCUGAUUCUAGUAUGGACACAACCCUUAUUCUAAAAGACACAGAAGCGGUAAUGGCUUUUCUAGAAGCUAAACUACGUGAAGAUAAUAAAACUGAUGAAGGACCAGAUACUCCCAGUUAUAAUAGAGACAAUUCUAUUUCACCAGAAUCUGAUGUAGAUACAGCUAGUACAAUCAGUCUGGUUACUGGAGAAACUGAAAGAAAGUCAACCCAAAAGCGAAAGAGUUUCACUAGCCUCUAUAAAGAUAGGUGUUCCACAGGUUCUCCUUCCAAAGAUGUUACAAAAUCAUCAUCUUCAGGUGCUAGGGAUAAAAUGGAAAAGAAAACAAAAAGUCGUUCCACAGAUGUGGGUUCAAGAGCAGAUGGUCGUAAAUUUGUUCAGUCCAGUGGGAG
rnacentral:sRNA from 1 species